GAACAAACCUGAGACGAUCGCUGUCUCCCUUGGGCCCGCCCAAGCGGGGGCAGAGGAAAGUCCGGACACCACAAGGCAGCAUGCCCCGGAGAAUCCGGGGGAAGCGGGAGGUGCAAACCCCCGUUGACGGACAGUGUCACAGAAAACAAACCACCUUCAGGCCUCCGGGUCCGGAGGAACGGGUGAAAAGGCGGGGUAAAAGCCCACCGCCCUGAGGGCAACCAAGGGGGCACGAAAAACCCCAUGCGGUGCAAGACAAAACAGGGCAAACGGGCCGCCUGUCCGGAUUUCCCGCCUCGGCGGGAGGAUGCGCCCGGGUAACAGUCGCACCCCGCUCCGGCGGGGAGUUCCGGCGGCACGAGUCGCCGGGCUAGAUAAAUGAUCGUCGGCGGCGGGCCGAAAGACCCGCAGUCAACAGAAUCCGGCUUACGGGGUUUGUUCGACU
rnacentral:RNase_P_RNA from 2 species